GAUGAACGCUAGCGGCAGGCUUAAUACAUGCAAGUCGUGGGGCAGCAUGAGUGUAGCAAUACAUUUGAUGGCGACCGGCAAACGGGUGCGGAACACGUACACAACCUUCCUAUAAGUGGGGAAUAGCCCAGAGAAAUUUGGAUUAAUACCUCGUAACAUUAUGAGAUGGCAUCAUUUUAUAAUUAUAGCUCCGGCGCUUAAAGAUGGGCGUGCGACUGAUUAGGUAGUUGGCGGGGUAGCGGCCCACCAAGCCUUCGAUCAGUAACUGGUGUGAGAGCACGACCAGUCACACGGGCACUGAGACACGGGCCCGACUCCUACGGGAGGCAGCAGUAAGGAAUAUUGGUCAAUGGACGCAAGUCUGAACCAGCCAUGCCGCGUGGAGGAUGAAGGUCCUCUGGAUUGUAAACUUCUUUUAUCUGGGAAGAAACCCAUAUUUUCUAGUGUGGUUGACGGUACCAGAUGAAUAAGCACCGGCUAACUCCGUGCCAGCAGCCGCGGUAAGAC
rnacentral:rRNA from 1 species